GACGAACGCUGGCGGCGUGCUUAACACAUGCAAGUCGAACGAUGAACUUGGAGCUUGCUCUGGGGGAUUAGUGGCGAACGAGUGAGUAACACGUGAGUAACCUGCCCUGGACUCUGGGAUAACUUCGAGAAAUCGGAGCUAAUACCGGAUAGGACCUUGCACCGCAUGGUGUGGGGUGGAAAGUUUUUCGGUUUGGGAUGGACUCGCGGCCUAUCAGCUUGUUGGUGAGGUAAUGGCUCACCAAGGCGUCGACGGGAAGCCGGCCUGAGAGGGUGACCGGCCACACGGGGACUGGGACACGGCCCAGACUCCUACGGGAGGCAGCAGUGGGGAAUAUUGCACAAUGGGCGCAAGCCUGAUGCAGCAACGCCGCGUGCGGGAUGACGGCCUUCGGGUUGUAAACCGCUUUUAGUAGGGAAGAAGCCUUCGGGUGACGGUACCUGCAGAAAAAGGACCGGCUAACUACGUGCCAGCCGCCGCGGUAACAC
rnacentral:rRNA from 1 species